rnacentral:rRNA from 1 species
AACGAACGCUGGCGGCAGGCUUAACACAUGCAAGUCGAACGCCCCGCAAGGGGAGUGGCAGACGGGUGAGUAACGCGUGGGAACAUACCCUUUCCUGCGGAAUAGCUCCGGGAAACUGGAAUUAAUACCGCAUACGCCCUACGGGGGAAGGAUUUAUCGGGGAAGGAUUGGCCCGCGUUGGAUUAGCUAGUUGGUGGGGUAAAGGCCUACCAAGGCGACGAUCCAUAGCUGGUCUGAGAGGAUGAUCAGCCACAUUGGGACUGAGACACGGCCCAAACUCCUACGGGAGGCAGCAGUGGGGAAUAUUGGACAAUGGGCGCAAGCCUGAUCCAGCCAUGCCGCGUGAGUGAUGAAGGCCUUAGGGUUGUAAAGCUCUUUCACCGAUGAAGAUAAUGACGGUAGUCGGAGAAGAAGCCCCGGCUAACUUCGUGCCAGCCGCCGCCGUAACAC